ACGGGAGGCAGCAGUGGGGGAUAUUGCACAAUGGGGGAAACCCUGAUGCAGCGACGCCGCGUGAGUGAAGAAGUAUUUCGGUAUGUAAAGCUCUAUCAGCAGGGAAGAAAAUGACGGUACCUGACUAAGAAGCCCCGGCUAACUACGUGCCAGCAGCCGCGGUAAUACGUAGGGGGCAAGCGUUAUCCGGAUUUACUGGGUGUAAAGGGAGCGUAGACGGCGAUGCAAGUCUGAUGUGAAAGCCCGGGGCUCAACCCCGGCACUGCAUUGGAAACUGUGUUGCUAGAGUGCAGGAGAGGUAAGUGGAAUUCCUAGUGUAGCGGUGAAAUGCGUAGAUAUUAGGAGGAACACCAGUGGCGAAGGCGGCCUGCUGGGCUCUAACUGACGCUGAGGCUCGAAAGUGUGGGGAGCAAACAGGAUUAGAUACCCUGGUA
rnacentral:rRNA from 1 species